UAAUUUAUUUCGAUUCCGAUUUCAGUCAUGAAUCAGACACCUCUUAAAGAUUAAUUCAUAGGAUUCAUGUGCUAAAUCACCUUCUCUAUCAGACAAUUGGACAUGGAACCUACUAAACCCAAUAAAAUUCCGUCCAACUCCUCAAUUUCUUUCCUAAAGCACAACUAGGAUUAGAUCGGGUUGGGUUGGGUCAGUGUUGGAUCACAUUUGUAAAUUUCAGUUGAUAUUUUACUAGAUUUUCUCUCAGUUUGUCAAGACAAUAUAUGAAUGCUGUCUAUCUCCAUUAGUUUAGAUUUUAGAAUUUAGGAAGGAUGAAUAGCUUAUAUGAGAUAUAUUAUAAGUUGCUGCU
rnacentral:lncRNA from 1 species